rnacentral:tRNA from 1 species
CGCGGGGUGGAGCAGUCUGGAAGCUCGUUGGGCUCAUAACCCAAAGGUCGCUGGUUCAAAUCCAGCCCCCGCUA